UCUAAUAUGGCAGAAUAGUGCAAUGAACUUAAGCUUCAUAUAUAAAGAUUUUUCUUUUAUUAGAA
rnacentral:tRNA from 1 species